rnacentral:lncRNA from 1 species
AACCGCGUGCAUACCGAUAUUAAUCAGAGGUAGGUAAUAAAAGAAUAUUUUUGGGAUUUGCCCUAGUUGAGUAUAACUCUCUCGACUGUGAGAAUUUGAUUGCCGGAAGAAAGGUCUUUUGUCGAGCAUUGCUAUCUGGGCGUCGGCUAUAUUAGAAAUCAAGUGACCAGACGAGAUUUAAGGACUCUGGUUAAGCUUCGCUCUUUAGAUGCCCGUCCUAUUAGAAUAAGAGAGCCGAAAUGCUGCUAGUAUUGGGGUUAGGAUUCUGCUGAAGUGCUUGUACCUUAUGAGUUAAACAUUAAUUAUUUUAAAUUAUGCUAUGGCAUGAACUUGUUAUUUUGUGAUAUUUCACAUAUUUUAUC